AACACACUCUUAAAUGCACCUUUUUGGGAUGUAUCUGUUCUGUCUUGCUGGUGAUUCUUUUCACCCUGGUGUUGGAUUCUGCAAUGUGCUUGACAGCUCACAUUCAUCAACUUUAGAGGUGGCACAGUGGAAGGUGCUUGACUCAUUGGUGUGUAGGAGCAAUACCCCUGCAUUGUAUUGUCUACAGGAAUA